GAUGAAGAACGUAGCGAAAUGCGAUAAGUAAUGCGAAUUGCAGAAUUUCCGUGAGUCAUCGAAUCUUUGAACGCACAUUGCGCCCGCUGGUACUCCGGCGGGCACGCCUGUCCGAGCGUCAUUUCAACCCUCAAGCCCUCCUUCGGGAUGGGCCUGGUGUUGGGGCUCGGCCGCCAUCUCCGGCGGCCGUCCCCUAAAUACAGUGGCGGUCACGUCGCGACUCCUUUGCGUAGUAGAAACACCUCGCUCCGGAUAGCAACGCGGUCCACGCCGUAAAACCCCCAAUUUUCAAUGGUUGACCUCGGAUCAGGUGGGAAUACCCGCUGAACUUAAGCAUAUCAAUAAGCGGAGGA
rnacentral:misc_RNA from 1 species